AUUGAACGCUGGCGGAAUGCUUUACACAUGCAAGUCGAACGGCAGCACGGACUUCGGUCUGGUGGCGAGUGGCGAACGGGUGAGUAAUGUAUCGGAACGUGCCCAGUCGUGGGGGAUAACGUAGUGAAAAUUACGCUAAUACCGCAUACGAUCUAUGGAUGAAAGCGGGGGAUCGCAAGACCUCGCGCGAUUGGAGCGGCCGAUAUCAGAUUAGGUAGUUGGUGGGGUAAAGGCCCACCAAGCCAACGAUCUGUAGCUGGUCUGAGAGGACGACCAGCCACACAGGAACUGGGACACGGUCCAGACUCCUACGGGAGGCAGCAGUGGGGAAUUUUGGACAAUGGGCGAAAGCCUGAUCCAGCCAUUCCGCGUGCAGGAUGAAGGCCCUCGGGUUGUAAACUGCUUUUGUACAGAACGAAAAGGUUUCUACUAAUACUAGGAGCUCAUGACGGUACUGUAAGAAUAAGCACCGGCUAACUACGUGCCAGCCGCCGCCGUAG
rnacentral:rRNA from 1 species